CGUGAGAUGUAAUAUUAUAGAUCUAUUAUAUAUAUAUAUAGAUCUAUAGGUAUAUAAACAUAAACAGUAUAUAUAUAAUAUAUAGAUCUAGAUCUAGGGGAGAGUAGGGAGAAAUGGACCAAUACUGCUAUCUUCAAAACUAGUGGACCAUAUUGUUUUGGACUAAAAUAAAAAAAAAACAAAUUCAGUAACAUGAAAUUUAAAAAAAAAACACUUCCUUUUAUUUUCGUUUAUUUUAUUUUUUUUUCUGCAUGCGCAAAUAUUUUAGUCACGGAACAUUGAUUUUCUUAACCAAUUUCGCACAUCAAUAUUUCAUUGGAUCUACUUUAGAAUUCAAGGUACCAGUACUUGGCAGUACCAGUGGCGCAACUAGAUCUAAGUGGGGAGAAAUGGGCCAUAAGAGGACCGUUUCUCCCCAUUCAUUUGAUUUAUGAUUGGCAGUAAAUUUCUAUAGCCACUAUAGGCAUGAUAUGCUUAUAGUAAUAAUGCCUCGAGUUUAUAAAAGGAAAAAGUUCUGACAAAGGCGUCAAAGGCAAAGUGCCAGAGUCAGUUAUGAGGGAUGCUGUAACUGCUUCACCUGAAAUAUUUGCAGGCUAUCCAAAAGCUGCUCCUCGCUAGCAAACCAACUUAGGAAAAAAAAGGAAAAUGUAUGAUCGUGACAUCAUCACCAAUGAUAGAGAAAAUAAAAUUAAAGCAUUGCGUUAAAUCUGGGGAUAAAUCUAAUUUAGAAAAGAAUCUAUUCGAUACCGGUAGUGACAUGACUGAUGAUAGGACAGAUAGUAGUGACAGUACCGGUAGUGAUGAAAGUAUUGAUGUCAGAAUGGAUAGUGUCGAAAGUAUGAAAGUUAACAACUAUGUUGUAAAAUGUUGUUUGUAAAAUGUUUGACAUGUUUCAGAUGUUCCUUCAGAGUUAAAGAUAUUUACUUCCUAGUCCCUACCACCCGAUGGAUGACGGGGAUGGCAGUGGUCAGGGUUUGAACCCAGGACCAUCAUUAAGUCUGAAUGACAGUCCAGCGUGCAAACCGCACUACCAGGCAGCCAUUCAAUGUCUUGUGUGAGUUUGAGGUUGGAAAGAAAACAAAAUAUUUAGUUGGUAAGGUUAUGAAAGAAGAAGAUGAGUAUGGUGAUAUAGAAGUUUUUUUUUGCGAAAGAGUGGGAAAAUGGGUGACAGUAGAAGACAUUGGACAGAAUAGGAUAAAUUAAAACAAUUUUGCCACCACCAGUAAACUGCAAAGGUACAAAAAGAACAGAAAGAUAUAAUAUCUCAUUUGAUGUAUCUUUGAAAACUAAUAAAAAAAUUUGAUUUCUUUAAGCUUCUUGUGUCUUCUGCAGGUGGUCAUUUCUCACCCAAAGUUGGUCCAUUUCUCCCCAUAUUCGGGUGGUAUUUUUAAUUAUAAUUUUUUUCUAAUGUAUGACAAUUUUAAAUUUUUUUAUAGACUAUAUUUUGAAAUAAAUGACUAUUCAGAACUAUAAAAAACAUCUCUGAGUUGUUGUUAUUUAUGUUUUUAUGUAACUUUAAGUAAAAAAGGUGGUCUAUUUCUCCCCAGUCUCCCCUACUGAUUUAGAAUUAAAUCUGGAGUCUAGAUUUAUUUAGUUCCAAUAUAAAUUAUUAAAUAAAGUCAAGAUAAUACCAUUUUCAUAUUAUUUUUAAUAAGACAUUUUUUAAUUAUGAAUGUACGUAGCAGAUCUAUUAACUAAAUUUAAAAUACUCGUCAUACAAAAUAAAUAACUGCUGGUUUAAUGAUAAAUUAUAGAAACUUUGCAAACAGAAGGAAAUCCUAUGUAGAAAAUUUAAAGAAACUAAGGCAGAAAGAGUAUAUAAAAAGUAUAUUAAAUUUAAACACCUAACCCAAAAAUAAGCAGUUGCAGAGUGAAUACAUAAACAAAGAAAUAUCUAAGGAUAGCAAUACAAAUCUGUGCCAUGGUCAAACAUUAAAUCUAAGUAAUGAUUAAAUGGUAA